UUCCUUCUCUUUUUUUCUCUUUUGAUUCAGCAGGAAAAGGGCCCGGCCGGACCCCCCGAGCAUUAAACAGUAUUUUUUUUUUAUUUUUAUUUUUCAUGCACUAAUCGCAUCGGCCCUGGAAAAUGUCACAAAUUGUUAAAAACGUCUUUAAAAGAAGCGGAAAAAGGCAAUGUCUAUCACCAAAAACUACGGGGCGGGAGGUUUGUUAGACCCUAAAAAUACAAAGAAAGAACCGUUAGCGCCGGCGUUGCUCCUGCCGACCCUUUUGCUGGUGAAAAACCCUCC